rnacentral:lncRNA from 1 species
AUGACAUUUUCCAGUAAGAGAGAUGACGAAGGCAAGGUUUUAACAAUUCCGUUUGGGUAUUGUGAUGGCAACCCAAACAAGAAGCAAUCUGGUUGUAUAGAGAGAACAAGACGAAACAAUCUAGCUAGGAAUUCCUCGGGUUCACCUAUCAGCAAUGAUAUCCAUACUGGAGAGAUGUCUUCAUCCAGGUUUUAUUGGGAAUUGUCAAUCAAGGGGACAGGAAGAUGACUAUGGGACAAGAUGGAGGAGGCCAGAGAGCUCCCACUGCCUGCCCUUGAUACACAACUACUCAAGAGUAAAGUUCAAACCGCAGCCCCCCAAACUCACGUGAAUAUCAAUUCAACGACAUAAGGUAUUGGAUGGAAUUCAAAAUCUCUCCCUAG